AGAGCAUAGUAAUAAAGUGACCCAAAUCAGCCUGAGGAAAAGGCUAAAAUUCUGCACGUGUGUAAGACCUUCCUUAUGACCUGUGCCAACCAACUUGGAACAUACACGCCCUUCUGUGUAAGUUAUUAAAUUGACUAAGGUGGCC